CUCAGGAUGAACGCUGGCGGUCUGCUUAACACAUGCAAGUCGAACGGGCAGUAGAAAUACUCCAGUGGCGGACGGGUGAGUAACGCGUGAGAAUCUACCUUCUGGUCGGGGACAACCACUGGAAACGGUGGCUAAUACCGGAUAUGCCGCAACGUGAAAGAUUUAUCGCCAGAAGAGGAGCUCGCGUCUGAUUAGCUAGUUGGUAGGGUAAAAGCCUACCAAGGCAUCGAUCAGUAGCUGGUCUGAGAGGACGAUCAGCCACACUGGGACUGAGACACGGCCCAGACUCCUACGGGAGGCAGCAGUGGGGAAUUUUCCGCAAUGGGCGAAAGCCUGACGGAGCAAGACCGCGUGAGGGAAGAAGGCUCUUGGGUCGUAAACCUCUUUUGUUAGGGAAGAACACAAUGACGGUACCUAACGAAUCAGCCUCGGCUAACUCCGUGCCAGCAGCCGCGGUAAUACGGAGGAGGCAAGCGUUAUCCGGAAUUAUUGGGCGUAAAGCGUCCGCAGGUGGCGAUUCAAGUCUGCGGUCAAAGACUGGGGCUUAACCCUGGAAAGGCCGUGGAAACUGAAGAGCUAGAGUGCAGUAGGGGUAGAGGGAAUUCCCGGUGUAGCGGUGAAAUGCGUAGAGCUCGGGAAGAACAUCGGUGGCGAAAGCGCUCUGCUGGACUGCAACUGACACUCAGGGACGAAAGCUAGGGGAGCGAAUGGGAUUAGAUACCCCAGUAGUCCUAGCCGUAAACGAUGGAUACUAGGUGUGGCUUGUAUCGACCCGAGCCGUGCCGUAGCUAACGCGUUAAGUAUCCCGCCUGGGGAGUACGCACGCAAGUGUGAAACUCAAAGGAAUUGACGGGGGCCCGCACAAGCGGUGGAGUAUGUGGUUUAAUUCGAUGCAACGCGAAGAACCUUACCAGGGCUUGACAUGUCGCGAAUCUCUUGGAAACGAGAGAGUGCCUUCGGGAGCGCGAACACAGGUGGUGCAUGGCUGUCGUCAGCUCGUGUGGUGAGAUGUUGGGUUAAGUCCCGCAACGAGCGCAACCC
rnacentral:rRNA from 1 species